GACGAACGCUGGCGGCGUGCUUAACACAUGCAAGUCGAGCGGUAAGGCCCUUUCGGGGGUACGACGAGCGGCGAACGGGUGAGUAACACGUGGGUGACCUGCCCUCAGCUCUGGGAUAAGCCUGGGAAACCGGGUCUAAUACUGGAUAUGACUCCAUGACGCAUGUUGUGGGGUGGAAAGCCUUGUGCGGCUGAGGAUGGGCCCGCGGCCUAUCAGCUUGUUGGUGGGGUGAUGGCCUACCAAGGCGACGACGGGUAGCCGGCCUGAGAGGGCGACCGGCCACACUGGGACUGAGACACGGCCCAGACUCCUACGGGAGGCAGCAGUGGGGAAGUCUUGCGCAAUGGGCGAAAGCCUGACGCAGCGACGCCGCGUGAGGGAUGACGGCCUGGUGUAA
rnacentral:rRNA from 1 species